GUCUUUAAUCCCACUAAGACACAGCACUUUGCAAACUAGUCUCACCAACUUGUGUCCGUAUAAUUUGAAGUUAGAAGAGGAUCCAAAUCACAGUCGUCAAGGCAUCGCGUCCUCGGUCCAAUGCCUCCUACCAUAAUGUUUGUAAUGUAUUCACGUGGCCAUACGUCAAUUUAAAAUCUUUUAUUUCUCUGUAAUGACUGGGAUUAAGUUAUGAAUUUGCCGAGCAAAGUCGCGAUUUUCCAAGGAAAGCGAGCGCAGUCGACAAACUGGUUGCUUCCAAACAGUCUCUGAUAACUUAGAUCUGUUCAGCUAUGACCUGGACGCCUGCAGCUGCGAAAAAUAUCCUCUGCCGUUUGCCUGGAGACAAUGCUGCCUUAAACCAGAUCUUGCGGUUUUACAGACAUUUCGAUACGAAAUGCAGACGGUAUUCCCGAUAGAAAUGGCUUCAGUCUCAGGGACAACUACCAAUAAAAACGGUGUACAGAGAUGCUUUAGCUUUUAAUUCUAAACCGAGACUUUGUAAUCGACCAUCCAACGAACGAAUGGUAUUUAUAAACCGGAGAAGCAACUUAAAUCACCAGAACCAGUUAUCUGGUUGCAGAAAUUUUUCACCAAAACGGGCGUUGGAAAAUUGAUUAAUGGUGUCUCCGUGCUUAUUUUGUACUUUUCUUCAGCAAAUUUUUUUUUGAAAUAUAAUGUUUUUUAGAUAGCGAAAAAUACUUUUCACUUAAAUUCUGUCGAAUUGCUGAAUGUUUCUGUUAAAUGUUACCUCCAACUGUUCUUAAUAUCUGAAACAUUUGCCUGUAAUUUAAUAGCAAUAAAAAAGAUUUCUAUUGACAGUAAUGCAUGACCUUAUUGCACCUAGCGCUGGCUUAACGCAACAUUUAUCUAAAUUACUUUACCCUCUGUGGCUUGUAUAGUCGUUAUAAAAAUAUUGCUUUGCAAUUACUGCAUUAUAAAUUAUUUAAAAGAAAAUAAGAGUUUAAACUCACUGUUUAGCUCAAGCAUUGCUUUCGCCCAAAAACGACUUUGAGUAAGUUCGAAUCUCUGUCUUCUGACAUUUUUCAUAACAGAGAUUGUUGUGGGAUCUCGUAAAGAAGAUAAAUCUUUUAUAUCGUUCAAAUUAUCCAUGUUCGUGACUUUGAAGUAAUUUCUGUUCUGGUAUUCCUGAUCCCAAAAGUGUAAAUAGACCAUUUUAUUACGGCAAGUUAUACCUUCACUGAUAAUUUUACGAGGAGACUAAGAUGAAGCAACUAUGUGCUAAUGCUUGUCACUGUGGGAACCCAACUUUACGGGGAAUAUAAUCAAAUGGGGAUCUGAAGACAUCUUCGACCGCAGCAUAUGUUCAUGGAGCAAUAAAAGAGAGAGAUUUACAAUCUUCGCCUGGUCGCGGUAGCCUUUCACCCUUUCAGGAAUUCCACGCAGUGAUUUAUAACAGAGCGGAAAACUGUUGACCCCCCCCAAAAAAAACACAAAGUAAUACUUUA